UACGUAGGGUGCGAGCGUUAAUCGGAAUUACUGGGCGUAAAGCGUGCGCAGGCGGUUUUGUAAGCCAGAUGUGAAAUCCCCGGGCUUAACCUGGGAAUGGCAUUUGGGACUGCAAGGCUUGAGUGCGGCAGAGGAGACUGGAAUUCCUGGUGUAGCAGUGAAAUGCGCAGAUAUCAGGAGGAACACCAAUGGCGAAGGCAGCACUCUGGGACGUGACUGACGCUGAGACGCGAAAGCGUGGGGAGCAAACAGG
rnacentral:rRNA from 1 species